ACACAAAGAAAUAUUAAGUGUUCAAGGUGACCAAUAUGCUAAUUACCUUUAUCACUCCAUACUGUACACAUGUAUUAAAAUGUUACUCUGUAUGCCAUAAAUAUGUACAAUUAUGUCUCAGAAAUAAUU